AUGACGGUAGGUGGAGGCAGGCAAGCAGGCUUCGAUUGGCGAUUGCUAGACACAAUACAAAUCUUGGAGGAAGAAAAGUAAAUCGAGGACAAGAAGGAGAUGCAAGGGACCCUGUCGACACACGGCGAGUAUGAUGAGGUGCUGACUCAUGAGCACUAUGAGGAGAGCGAGGUGUCUGAUGAGGAGGAGCAUGACGAGACCAUCAUCUCCAAGCGGCAGAUCCAGAAGCUCCGCAGUGAUUUGCAGGCGACGUUGGAUUACCUGAGACUGGACAUCGAGCCGGCAGCGCCGCUCCGGGAGACGAUAACGGAGGACGGCGACGACGAAAAGAAGGUGAUCCCCGGCCUCGUAGAGCAGUUCAAGGAUCUGCGCCGCCGCAUGAGCAGGCUGAGAUGGAAGCUGCUGCCUUUCUAUGAAAGGUACGAGGAGGAGCAGGCUAAGCCGGUCACUUACGAGGGUCUGAACGAGGAAGAGAAGGCGAGGAAGAUUAUGGAGGAGGAGGAGACGUUCUUCCACAGCUACCGCCAAAGCACCGAGUUCUCGUCCAGCCGCGUCUUCUUCGAGCAGAAGACUACAUUGAGCCCCAUGUAUUUCACCCAUUGCACGCCCGGACUCCCCUUACCCUACAAUGCCGAGACGGACGAGGGGAUCAGCUUGCAGGUCUACACUUUCAAGAUCAGCGACAUCAUGGGCGGCCUGUGUUGGCCGCUCCAAGUGUAUGGCGUCGUCGCCGCCCGAGACAACUCGGACCGCAAGCGCAACAUCAUCUUUGAUCGCCCGAGGCACGACUGCCAGACUCUCACCGCAGAUGAUCCCUUUCUGCGUUUGACCGGCCCGUCUCGAGCGAUUAUGGCUCUGAGCCCAGUUGACUUUGAGGUCCAGCUGAAACUUAAGGGCGUGACGCAAUCAACAGACAAAUCACUGAUGAACCGUAGAGAACAUUACGUGGGUGGCUUAGAAACUCUCACCUUUGAAAACUGCCUUUGCACCGCGGAGUUAAGAGUGAAGAGAAUUUGUGGUUCGGUUCAGGCCACUUUUGUGAGUGUCCGCGUUGUGCGUGGAGGUCCAUGGCCUUUUGAAUACGGAGGACGAAUUGCUUGCUCAUCGCCACCUCAAGAAGUUAUAUGCGUGGAUCCUCAAGGCAUUGCACAAGUUGUUGAUGAUUCUUCAUGCUUGCAACUUGUGCUGCUCGAUUCUCGUGACUCUGUGUGUGGAAAAAUGCCAGUUGGCAAAUACGGUUACCUCCAUCUGUCAAGGCGCGUUGUUUCCGUCCAACUACGGAAAGAGAACUCCCGACAAUACCAAGAAGGCAUCAAGGUUGUCUUUGAAGCCUACUCGGAGUCGGGCGGCAUUGCGGCGCAAGCUCAUGUCAAGAUCAGGCCCAGGAUUUGUAACAUAAGUAAGCACACUUGCGACCUCGGUGGCUCUAAGGUGGAGAUUACCGUUGCUUGGUCAGCCAUUGUUAGGACCGACUGAUGUUAGUAACCGUUCGAUGUUUGAUGUUUGUUGCGCAUAAGUUUGAUGUUUGUUGCGCAUAAAAUUACGUUGUGUGGUUAUGUUGUGUGGAGCAUUUGUAUCUGAAUUUUCGACUUU